UUUAUUCGAGAUGCUUGACAAUUUCAUAAUUGUUUAAUUAUUUAUAUAUGUCAAAGUUUUCUAAAGAAGGAAAAAAAUCAGAAAUGCUAUUAGAACAUAUUAGAGCAAAAUAUGUAAAAAAAAUUGAAAGAACAAGAGCAAUUAAGGGGGAAAAAACAAAAAUAUAAUUGCAUAUUGUGGAAUUAAGGAAAUGAAAAGGAAUGGAAUUUAAUUUAGAUCAUGAGAUGUGUCAAAUAAUACUUAUCAUAUUAGUUUUUUUUUACUAAUAUUUCGAUCCACAUGUGAACAUGUGAGAGCAAAACAUUAUUUUAUCUUUUUUUGUAAAGAUAAUAAUCAACCAAUGGAAAAGGGGAUAAAAAACAAAUUAAAGCAAUUGGUAUUUUUUUUUGCUAAACAUGUCAUAUAUAAAACGAAUUAAAUUGUAUAGUGUGGAUUAUAAAAUUUCGCUAAAGAGUUGUAGAUAUUUUAAAAGAUACGCAUAAACGGAAUUAAGUAAUGGAGUUUGCAAGAACAAAGAGGAUGUUGUGGAGAUUUUUUCUUAAACAAUUACGUCUAAGCAAGCAAUGGAACUAUGGAAGGAGUAAAGAAAGCAAAAGAAAGCGAGUAACCAAAUGAAAAUCGUAAGCAAACAACGAAACAAGUAGAGAAGUUCAUGUAAGAAAUAGUGACGACGAAAGUAAAAAAGAAAAAGAAAAACCAGAGGAUCAGGAAACAAGCAAACGAGUGUGUAAAGAAAUUGAUUGAAACAACUAAGUAAGCGAGUAUCCAAGAAGAAGGCUGCCCAAUGAAGUAAAGUAAAUCAAGGAACCAAGAAGGAAACAAACAAACAAGUCAAGCAACGAUCAAAUAAUCAAUGAAACAAAGAAGGAAUAAAGUGAACAAGUUAAACAUGUAAGCAAUCAGUGCAAGAAACAAGCAAGCACGUUACAAACUGAGAUAAGCACAAGAAACAAACAAGAACAAGUUAUUAACAAAUGUACUAAAGUAGCAAGCAAUGACCUAAUCAAUAAAUCAAGAAAGCAAAUAUAUAUGCAUGUGUAUGCAUGUAUGAAUGUAUAAAAUGUAUGCAUGUAUGGAUGUAUGCAUGA